GACGAACGCUGGCGGCGUGCCUAAUACAUGCAAGUUGAGCGCUGAAGGUUGGUACUUGUACCAACUGGAUGAGCAGCGAACGGGUGAGUAACGCGUGGGGAAUCUGCCUUUGAGCGGGGGACAACAUUUGGAAACGAAUGCUAAUACCGCAUAAAAACUUUAAACACAAGUUUUAAGUUUGAAAGAUGCAAUUGCAUCACUCAAAGAUGAUCCCGCGUUGUAUUAGCUAGUUGGUGAGGUAAAGGCUCACCAAGGCGAUGAUACAUAGCCGACCUGAGAGGGUGAUCGGCCAAAAUGGGACUGAGACACGGCCCAAACUCCUACGGGAGGCAGCAGUAGGGAAACUUCGGCAAUGGAGGAAAGUCUGACCGGGCAACGCCGCGUGAGUGGAGAAGGUUUUCGGAUCGUAAAACUCUGUUGGUAGGGAAGAACGUUGGUGAGAGUGGAAAGCUCAUCAAGUGACGGUAACUACCCAGAAAGGGACGGCUAACUACGUG
rnacentral:rRNA from 1 species